CAAUUUAAGCUUGUUUCUUCGUUCUCGAGUGAUUAGUGUUAAAUAUAAAAAUGUUUAAACACUAUUUUCUAACAGCUUAAACUUUUAGAGUACAACGGUUAUUUCACAUGAUAUCAGAGCAGGAAGUUCUGAGUUCUUAAGUUUUUAGAGUUCAACGGUUAUUUCACGAUUGGAUUGAAGCUUCUCGAGCUCAUUUACA
rnacentral:lncRNA from 1 species